CCUCGCCACCGCGGGAGCCCGGCGUACCGGGCUGAGAAGACGGCUCAACGGCCGCUGACCGCCACAACCUGAUCCGGGUCAUACCGGCGUAGGGAGGGGAUUCCCUUGACAG
rnacentral:ncRNA from 2 species